rnacentral:lncRNA from 1 species
AAUAAAUUCUGCGAUUGGUCAAUGCAAUUCUUUGAGUUUGAUUCCCUUAUCCAAUAGACUGAUAUAAAAAAAAGCAUUCUUUUCUUGUGUCUAGAUCUUGUAAUUUUAUGUUUAUUAAGAUAAUGUAUUGUGUUAUGAGGGACUGGAGUUUGGUUUGGAAGUGGGGUGUGUCUCCUCACCUUCCAGUUUGGUUUUUUUGGGAGAAAUGGAAAGAGGAAUUUGGAGGAGGGGGAGAGAGACAAAAGGGUGAUAGGUAAUAAAAUAUUGCACAAUCCAACUGUGGACUCUUGGCCCCAAUACAAUUAAAUCAAGUUACAGCUAUAAACAUAAGUGCCAGAUGAGAACAAAUGUUUUAAAUAAUGAUCUCUUUUUUUUGCUGACAGAGGUGAAAGAUCAAGUUACCAGAGCCAAUAUAAAUACUUGUGUGGGAGGCCAAAGUGAGGAGGACAGAUGUUUAGGCAGAAAAGGGGGAGAGAGAGUGCAGUUUUUUCGGUCAGAAGACUUCCAUCAUAAAACUUGCAAUCUACCUCUUUUAUCUUUUUCUACAUUAUCCAGUUCUGCCACCUAACAAGCUCCAUCAUCCAUUCUUUCCAUUGAGAAAUUUCUGUGAAGAUUUCAAUGCUAACUAUGCUAGCACUGGACUGUAUCAUCUUACACCUGAAAGUCGGCAUCUAUGAUACUGAUUUGAAUUGGAACUGUUUGGAUAAUCCUUACUUCUAAGGUAUUUGAUGAAAAUUGUCAGGCACUAUGUUGUAAAAUCAUAGAUCAUAUAUAAAGAAUUCUCUCUAGUAAUUAUAUUAAAAGGAAGUUGUUGGUUUAACGACUUUUAGUCUGUCUUGGAGUCUGGCCUCAUCACCCAUCCUUACCUGUAGCAUGCCAUUCACUGCGACAAGGCCAAACACUUGUAGUUUCAUCCAUUGGUCUUGUGUGUGUUUUACAGUGUCCAAGUAAACAUUAAUAAUGAGAAAUUCAUAAAUUUUGAUCAUUUAAAACUUGACUGUUCUGACUUACAAUGGCAGGGUUUGAAAUUGAACCCUUUUGUAACUUGGGGAAGUAAUACUU